rnacentral:snRNA from 1 species
AUCGCUUCUCGGCCUUUUGGCUAAGAUCAAGUGUAGUAUCAGAAGUGACAAUUACAAAGAAGCCACAGGAAUGCACAUACUUUCUUUAUCUUAAACUUUGGUAAAACUUCCUGGUAUCUUACUGUAUAAAAUAAUGUGCUGUAUCGGUUCUGGGUCCCUGUCUCUCCAUCAGAGGACAGCUGUCCCAUCUGGUC